rnacentral:rRNA from 1 species
CAUUAUCGAACAAAAGAAGGGAGAGGAAGGGGACUGUUGCUGGCUUUGAGCAUGUGCACGUUCCUUCUCUUUCUCCUUCUCUCACCCUCACACUUGUGCACCUUUUGUAGAUCCUUGAAAGAGGAUCUAUGUCUUUUAUCAUCACUUUGAUUGUAUGUCAAUAGAAUGUAAACGAAAUGAAUUACAACUUUCAGCAACGGAUCUCUUGGCUCUCGCAUCGAUGAAGAACGCAGCGAAUUGCGAUAAGUAAUGUGAAUUGCAGAUUUUCAGUGAAUCAUCGAAUCUUUGAACGCAUCUUGCGCUCCUUGGUAUUCCGAGGAGCAUGCCUGUUUGAGUGUCAUUGAAUUCUCAACCAUGUCUUGAUUGACUUUGGGACAUGGCUUGGUUAGUGGGGGUCUGCUGGGGUCAAAAGACAUCAGCUCUCCUGAAAUUGAUUAGCAAUGUAGACCAGCAAGUCUAGCACGCAUGGCCUUCUGGCGUGAUAAUGAUCGUCAUGGGCUGGAGUGUCUGACAUGCAUCUGAUGGUCUGUUUGCUUCUAAUUAGAAUCAGAUGAGGAUGAAGCAUCUGGUAUCUAGCUUAGUUACUAGUUGGCCAUAAGGCUGGCGAACACAAGCACUCGUAGAUCAGGAUGAGUUCCUAUUUCUGUAUAUCAUGGAUUUUGACCUCAAAUCAGGUAGGACUACCCGCUGAACUUAAGCAUAUCAAUAAGCGGAGGAAAAGAAACUAACAAGGAUUCCCCUAGUAACUGCGAGUGAAGCGGGAAAAGCUCAAAUUUUGAAUCUGGCGGUCUGUCGGCCGUCCGAGUUGUAAUCUAGAGAAGUGUCUUCCGCACUGGCCUGUGUACAAGUCUCCUGGAAGGGAGCAUCAUAGAGGGUGAGAAUCCCGUCUUUGACACAGACUACCAGGGCUAUGUGAUGCGCUCUCGACGAGUCGAGUUGUUUGGGAAUGCAGCUCAAAAUGGGUGGUAAAUUCCAUCUAAAGCUAAAUACAGGCGAGAGACCGAUAGCGAACAAGUACCGUGAGGGAAAGAUGAAAAGAACUUUGGAAAGAGAGUUAAAUAGUACGUGAAAUUGCUGAAAGGGAAACGCUUGAUGUCAGUCACAUCGGCCAGGGAUCAACCUUGCUUCUCGCUGGGUGUACUUCCUGGUCGAUGGGUCAGCAUCAGUUUCGGUCGUCGUAGAAAGGCGAAGGGAAUGUGGCACUCUUCUUGGGUGUGUUAUAGCCUUUGGUCAGAUGCGGUGGUUGGGACUGAGGAACUCGGCACGAUUUCAAUCUGUGCUUAGGAUGCUGGCAUAAUGGCCUUAAGCGACCCGUCUUGAAACACGGACCAAGGAGUCUAACAUGCAUGCGAGUGUUUGGGUGGAAAACCCAGGCGCAGAAUGAAAGUGAAUGUCGAGACCUCUGUCAUGGAGGGCACCGACGCCCGGUCUAGAGUCUUUGACGACGGAUCUGCGGUAGAGCAUGCAUGUUGGGACCCGAAAGAUGGUGAACUAUGCCUGAAUAGGGUGAAGCCAGAGGAAACUCUGGUGGAGGCUCGUAGCGAUUCUGACGUGCAAAUCGAUCGUCGAAUUUGGGUAUAGGGGCGAAAGACUAAUCGAACCAUCUAGUA